AUUGAACGCUGGCGGCAGGCUUAACACAUGCAAGUCGAACGAGUGGCGGACGGGUGAGUAAUGCCUGGGAAUCUAGCUGAUGGAGGGGGAUAACUACGGGAAACUGUAGCUAAUACCGCGUACCAUAGGAUGAGCCCAAGUGGGAUUAGGUAGUUGGUGAGGUAAAGGCUCACCAAGGCGACGAUCCCUAGCUGGUCUGAGAGGAUGACCAGCCACACUGGAACUGAGACACGGCCCAGACUCCUACGGGAGGCAGCAGUGGGGAAUAUUGCGCAAUGGGCGCAAGCCUGAUGCAGCCAUGCCGCGUAUAUGAAGAAGGCCUUCGGGUUGUAAAGUACUUUCGGCGGGGAGGCGUUACCGGCAGAAGAAGCACCGGCUAACUCCGUGCCAGCAGCCGCGGUAAUUC
rnacentral:rRNA from 1 species